AUUGAACGCUGGCGGCAUGCUUUACACAUGCAAGUCGAACGGUAACAGGCCUUCUGGUGCUGACGAGUGGCGAACGGGUGCGUAAUGCAUCGGAACGUACCCAGAGGUGGGGGAUAACGCAGCGAAAGCUGUGCUAAUACCGCAUGUGAUCUGAGGAUGAAAGCGGGGGACCGAGCAGCAAUGUUUGGCCUCGCGCCUUUGGAGCGGCCGAUGUCGGAUUAGCUAGUUGGUGGGGUAAAGGCCUACCAAGGCGACGAUCCGUAGCUGGUCUGAGAGGACGACCAGCCACACUGGGACUGAGACACGGCCCAGACUCCUACGGGAGGCAGCAGUGGGGAAUUUUGGACAAUGGGCGCAAGCCUGAUCCAGCAAUGCCGCGUGCGGGAAGAAGGCCUUCGGGUUGUAAACCGCUUUUGGCAGGAACGAAACGGUGUCCGCUAAUACCGGGCGCUAAUGACGGUACCUGCAGAAUAAGCACCGGCUAACUACGUG
rnacentral:rRNA from 1 species